rnacentral:lncRNA from 1 species
GACUAGGUAUCCCCCAUUUCCCUUUCCAACUGACUAGGUAUCCCCCAUUUCCCUUUCCAACUGACUAGGUAUCCCCAUUUCCCUUUCCAACUGACUAGGUAUCCCCAUUUCCCUUUCCAACUGACUAGGUAUCCCCAUUUCCCUUUCCAACUGACUAGGUAUCCCUCCUUUCCCUUUCCAACUGACUAGGUAUCCCCAUUUCCCUUUCCAACUGACUAGGUAUCCCCAUUUCCCUUUCCAACUGACUAGGUAUCCCCCCUUUCCAACUGACUAGGUAUCCCCCCUUUCCAACUGACUAGGUAUCCCCCUUUCCCUUUCCAACUGACUAGGUAUCCCCAUUUCCCUUUCCAACUGACUAGGUAUCCCCCAUUUCCCUUUCCAACUGACUAGGUAUCCCCCUUUCCCUUUCCAACUGACUAGGUAUCCCCCUUUCCCUUUCCAACUGACUAG